CCCGCCGCUGGCGCUGGGGCACGCGGGGACCCCGGGGCCGCGCGCCUGGCCUCGUGGAACCCAGAGCGGCGCUGGCCACCACGCCGGGUCGGGUUCCCGCGGGAGGCCGGGCGCGACCCACCCCGCAGGACGGCGCGUGGCUGUGGGGAAGGGGGGGUGCUGCUGGCCCCUCCCCGCCCGCCCGCUGCCGCGCGGUCCGCCAGUCCCUGCCAUCCCCGCGCGCUCCCUCCGCACGCCCAGGCGCAGUGCCCGCCGCGGCCCGUUUCAUCCUCCGCACCAGCCUCCCGCGGCGGGAUUACCCACAUUUUGUACCAACGAAGGCCUCCACCCUCCGGGAAGACAGCCACUGACCCAAGGUGACACGGCUGGAAAGGAAGAGUGGAGGGACUUGAAUCCAGGACUUUUUUUUUCCUUUUACUCUACUCCGCGUGGCCCCUGGCGGCUAGGGUGCGGGGGAACCUAUCUGUAGCCCCGUGCGACCUGUGCGGUGACUCCCCGGUUGCGCCUCCAGGGGACUGGCUGGGUUUGGAGGCAUCGGCUGCCGUGAUGCAGGUCAUUUUCCUAGUUGGGUGAGGAGACGCUUCAGACGUGAGAUGAGCUACAGCUGGUAGCUGGUUCUCUCCUGGGAUGUGCGUUUAGAUCCCCAUCUUGUUGAUCCCAAAGACUCUACCUGCACCCAAGAUCUGAAAGUUUUAAUGUAGGUCAUUCAACCAAGUGGAAAGAACCACAGCAUCCCUUUGUAAUGGUGGGAAAACCAAGACUAUCACUUUAAUUCUGUACCUGAUCAUGUCCACUUUACCUCGGCCACUAGGAAACUCAGAACCAAAUGAAGUACAUAAAACUUUAGGAGAACUGCUGGAUCAAGGGUAUGCAUGUGUUAAAUUUUGAUAGACACUGCCAAAUUGCCUUCCAGGAAGAUUGACCAAUUUGCACUUCUACCAACUAUGAAAGAGUACCCUUUGUUCACAUUCUCAUCAACAAUGGAGAGUGCCAGUUUUUAAAAUUUUGGCAGAACUGAUUGACAAGAACACAGUACUUAUUUUAAUUUGUCUUUUGCCAGUAGUAAGGCUGAUCAUCAUUUUUAGUCCUUUUUACUAUGGCUACAAUGAAAGACAAAGUUGAAGGUGUGGUUUUGGUUUCUUUUUGAUACAGAUGACCAUCAAAACAGUGAUAUUUUGAACUAUUGAUCCCUACGAAGAUCCACAUGUGAAUGUUACACAUUUCCAUGUCAGGAAAGUCAAUCGUAAUUGAACUCCUAAGGUCAAAUUGUAACUGGUGUUUAUUCUUGGAUUCAUUUAAUGGCUUUGGUCCAAAGUAUUAAAAGAUGUCAGAACUGUA